rnacentral:rRNA from 1 species
UACGUAGGGGGCAAGCGUUGUCCGGAAUCAUUGGGCGUAAAGAGCGCGUAGGCGGUCCGGUAAGUCCGCUCUGAAAGUCCGGGGCUCAACCCCGGGAGGCGGGCGGAUACUGCCGGGCUAGAGUCCGGAAGAGGCGAGUGGAAUUCCAGGUGUAGCGGUGAAAUGCGUAGAUAUCUGGAGGAACACCGGUGGCGAAGGCGGCAUCCUGGACCGACACUGACACUGAGGAGCGAAAGCCAGGGGAGCAAACGGG